UCCAGUAGCCAGGAGGGGUGUGGCCAGGGCCUCAGUGUUAGUGGAUAACACCUCAGGUCAUUGCUAGGCUGGAGGAGAGGGUCUUAUUUCAGAGAAGGUUCCUUAUGGUGGAGCAAGUGUGGCACAUGGAGCAGUUUGGGUGAUGCUGGUCCUGACUGGAGGAAGUGGUUUUGGAAGAAGAAAUUGUCCAUGGAAACAAUAGAUGGAAGAAAUAUUUGAGAAGAUGCCUGUUAUCACUUCAGAUGAGAUCCCUGCUUCGGACAAUUUAGUGCAAAAAACCUGCAGAAGGCAACAAGACAGUACCAACAUUUUUAACUAAAAACAGUCCUAGACAUGCUGAUUUUAGAUUGCAAUUUUGCAAAGCUGACUGCUUAGAACAGAGCUGCAGAUUUUCACCCCUGGUAGCCACUCCUUGGAGUCUUAAGGAGUUUCACAAAAUUUAAGCGGACUGUCACCCAGAGUUAGAUAUAUCACUAUAGGCCAUUGAAAAAACUAGGAAAUCUGAGCUAUAAUUCAAAAAAGAUUGAAAUUACUGGGAAGAUCAGACAUCUCA